AUUGAACGCUGGCGGCAUGCCUUACACAUGCAAGUCGAACGGCAGCAUGGAGAGCUUGCUCUCUGAUGGCGAGUGGCGAACGGGUGAGUAAUGCAUCGGAACGUACCGUGUAAUGGGGGAUAACGUAGCGAAAGUUACGCUAAUACCGCAUACGACCUGAGGGUGAAAGCAGGGGAUCGCAAGACCUUGCGCUAUACGAGCGGCCGAUGUCAGAUUAGCUAGUUGGUGAGGUAAAGGCUCACCAAGGCGACGAGCUGUAGCGGGUCUGAGAGUAGGAUCCGCCACACGGGGACUGGGACGCGGCCCAGACUCCGACGGGAGGCAGCAGUGGGGAAUUUUGGACAAUGGGGGCAACCCUGAUCCAGCCAUGCCGCGUGAGUGAAGAAGGCCUUCGGGUUGUAAAGCUCUUUCGGCCGGGAAGAAAUCGCACAGGCUAAUACUCUGUGUGGAUGACGGUACCGGCAUAAGAAGCACCGGCUAACUACGUGCCAGCCGCCGCCGUAA
rnacentral:rRNA from 1 species